CCUGGUUCCCUGCAUUUUCAGUGAACCACAGAGAACCAGAAUAAGAUUGUAGGGAAACAAGCCUUGUUACAAGGUUUGAGGGUCUCUGCUAGAAUCAUGUGGACCCCAGUGUAACAAAUCUAUGGAAAGAGAGAAAAUCUCAGCUCAAGGGUCAACAUGUCUUUAUUCCAAGAAAGAGUGUACAUAUGCCAGAAUCAUAUGGACCGCAGACUGGCCCUGGUGAUUCCGUUAAGAAAAAAGAGGAAAAAUCAGUGCUUGUGCUCAUUGGUCAUUGGACAAAGGGUGAAUGCCAGAAUUUUUUCAAGAACAGCCUGAAUCUGACAUGGAAAAAAUG